rnacentral:tRNA from 1 species
AUUUAUAUAGUAUAAUUAGUAUAUAUAACUUCCAAUUAUAAGGUUUAAAAAUUUUAAUAUAAAUA